GAACAAUUAUACUUAUUGGGCAUAUUUAUCAACCUUGGCUGGCAAUAAUGCCUAGAUGUAAUCACUCUAUGACACAGUUACACAUGCUUUCUGAUCUCAGUAUUUACCAUAAUCUGCUCCUAUAAUUGAGGCAUACCGCCCUUAAAAACCUAUUUGUAAACAAAAUUGAACCUGGCCAGAAAAAAUGAACGUACUUGUUUAGGAAGAUUGCAUUGCAGAACAGGCAGAGGUGCUGCGCAACGAUUCCUAUGGAAUCACUGUUAAUUGGUCCCCUAAGGGGAUGUUUAGCUUAAAUUGCACCUCUCAGCCUGCGUGCCACGGCCACACUAUGUGCAGCUGGUCUGAACAAAACGGUCAGAUGGUAGAAACAAUAAGAAGUAUGGCAAAAGUUCCUAUUAUCUGGAACCAUGCUGGUAUAGUGGCACCUCAACCUCAAACGAUAAGGCCCGCUGUAGGAGCUAAACAUUAAGGAUUUGUAGAAACUAUUAAUAGCUCUUAAUAAGAUCAAAAUUGGGGAAAGAAUAAAGCAUCUAGAAGGACACUCUACAAGCUUUUUGGAUACAGUAAAAUUAAAAGAAAAAAUAUUUAAAGCAUCCCAGGCACACCUGACCUUAAUACCAGCAACU
rnacentral:lncRNA from 10 species